GCCGACGUAGCUCAAAUGGUAGAGCAACCGCCUUGUAAGCGGUAGGUUGCAGGUUCAAGUCCUGCCGUCGGCACCA
rnacentral:tRNA from 1 species